AGUGGGGAAUAUUGGACAAUGGGCGAAAGCCUGAUCCAGCAAUGCCGCGUGAGUGAUGAAGGCCUUAGGGUUGUAAAGCUCUUUUACCCGGGAUGAUAAUGACAGUACCGGGAGAAUAAGCUCCGGCUAACUUCGUGCCAGCAGCCGCGGUAAUACGAGGGGAGCUAGCGUUAUUCGGAAUUACUGGGCGUAAAGCGCACGUAGGCGGCUUUGUAAGUUAGAGGUGAAAGCCCAGAGCUCAACUCUGGAAUUGCCUUUAAGACUGCAUCGCUUGAAUCCAGGAGAGGUGAGUGGAAUUCCGAGUGUAGAGGUGAAAUUCGUAGAUAUUCGGAAGAACACCAGUGGCGAAGGCGGCUCACUGGACUGGUAUUGACGCUGAGGUGCGAAAGCGUGGGGAGCAAA
rnacentral:rRNA from 1 species